rnacentral:lncRNA from 1 species
CUGGUGGCCCUGUGCAGUCAGGGAUGUGGUAGAAAACAGACUCUCCCAGGGUGUUGGGACUAAGCACCUAAGAGAAACGACACCAAAAGAAAGCCAAGGACCCUCGCUUCCCAGGCUCCCCAUGAGGUUGGCCUUGGAGUCCCUGGAGCUGCUGCUGUGCCCUGAUGGGCCCCCCAGUUCCCCAAGCAGCCUUCCUGCUGAAGUGCUGAGGAGUUUGCUGUCACCCUGACCUUCCAUUAGUGUUCCCCAUACAAUCCCAUAACUAAGGUAACCUGCAAAGAUAACUGAGUUCCCUGUAGUUUGAAGUGGCCAAAGGAUGCAAAGAGCAGCACAUGGUAUGGAUCAAAUAGAUAGUAGCCGAUUCUAUUAGGUAAAGAAAAUGUCAACUUAAAGAGAAUGACUACUGGAGACAUUAGGGUGCCCUCUCUCAUCCACUCUUCCUCUUCUACAGUAGCACCCCCUAGUGUUUGGCUGCAGUUGGUUCAAAGGUAACAGAUGCCAUAAGGUGUACAGUCAGUGAGGUUGGGGACUUCUGUUUAGUUAAAGAUAACAUUUCUUUCAUUUGAUGUGAUUAAACAAACACAGAAGCUCGGAUUGCUGCUGUCAGAAUUUGCCACUACAGUAGAAGGCAGGCUGAGAACAAAUUGCUAAGAGGAAAAAGGAAGGACCAAGACCACCACGGAGGAGUCCAGGUCCACUGACGAUCAGUGAGUCUAAUUCAUUUUGGUAAGUGAGUCAGUUAGCAUUGGGAUUUGCUGUUUCAUGUAAUAGUGUAAAUAACUGGGAAAGAACAGUUUUACACUUUGAAAAAAAAUGAUCUCUUAACAGUGAGACUAAGAAGAUGCUUAUAAAGCUGCACAUUGUACACCUUCCCUAUAGAACUAGGAAAAAAAUCUCAAUUAUUUAGAAAAUUAACUCCUAAAAGCCACCAAAAUUUUUAAAUAUUUUUAUAACAGAAAGUACUAUAAAAGAAGAGUGGAUAAAUGUUUUGGCAGACUGUAUUCAAAGCCUAAGAUGGAAAGUGAAAUUUCUCCUAUCUUAUCUCUACCUGUAAGUUGCCCUUCAUUUAGCAAGAAACCCGUGGACACUUAAUUGAAUCUAUUAAGUAAUUCAUGUAGAAAAAUACCAAAGGACCAGAACUGAAGGGCACUAGUGAUUUCUUUCCAGGUUUUGAGAAAUGUUAGAACUGAAACAUCAGAGAUGUGUUUUUUCUAUUAAUAAAAAGGAUGUUCUGUCAUUUUUCUCUUCCAGUGUGGUAUCUGGGUAUUGUUUUUAUGUCAUGUCUCUUCAGGUUUCUUUAUUUGGAACAUUUCUUCAGUCUUUCUUGGUCUUUUAUAUAAUUAAUAUCAAAAGUUUAGUCCUCCCUUUUUUUUUUCAAUUGUCCUACAGUAAAAUGGACAUUCCUUUUGGCUUAUAGUUCUUUGGGUUUCAAUAUACAUUGAGACUCAUGAAACCAGCACCACAAUAUGGUUACAGAAAAAGUUCUGUUAGCCCUCAAAUUCCUCCAUUACUACUCUGCUAUAGCCACACACCUGUCCCAUGCCUAAUCUUAGCAUGCAUGAUCUCUUCUUCAUCACUAUAGUUUGGAACUCUUGGGAACCUCAUAUAAAUGGACACAGACUUCUUCUCUUACACCUCCCUCACCCUGCCUUAUUGUGUAUUAGUAUCCAAAUAUCAAUUUGAGACUGGAUUUUUUCCUUGACAUAAUGCCUUUAAGAUCCAUCCAAACUGUUGCCUUUAUCAAUAAUUUUUUUUCUUAUUGCUGAGUAGUUAGUAUUUAUUGUAUGGAUUAUCACAAUUGGUUCAUUCAACAAUAGUAAGACUUUUGGGUUUGUUUCUAGUUUGGGGUGAUUAUGAAGAGAUCCGGCUAAGCAUUCAUGUACAAGUUUUUGUGUGAAGAUAAGUUCUGAAUUCUGUAGGAUAAAUAGCUAAGGGUAAGAUUUGCUGGAUUCUACGGUGGGUAUAUGUUUGACUGUUGAAGAAACUGCCAAACUGUUCAUCCUUGUCAUUACCCAUGAUGCAACUGGGAGGAGAUGAUCUCUUCCUGGGGAGAGUUGCAUUUAAUUAACCAUUGCCUGAGUAGGAUGUACAUACUAGGAGAUGAAGGAGGCAAUCAACAGCCUAUUUGAGUUUAUUUUUAAAAAAAAAUAUUUGUUCUUUUUAGAUAUACAUGAUAGUAGAAUGUAUUUUGACAUGUUACACGUACAUGGAAUAUAACUUAUUCUAAGUUGGAUCCAAUUCUUAUGGUUGAACAUGAUGUGGAGGUACACUGGUCAUGUAUUCACAUUUGAACAUAGGAAAAUUAUGUCUAAUUCCUUCUACUAUCUUUCGUAUACCCAUUCACCCUUCCUUCUCUUCAUUCCCCUCUGUUUAAUCCAAUGAACUUCUUUUCUUACAUCUCCCCCACCCCACCUUAUUGUGUGUUAGCAUCCAAAUAUCACAAAGAGCAUUCUGUCUUUGGUUUUUGGGAUUGGCUUAUUUUGCUCAGCAUGAUAGUCUCCAGUUUCAUCCAUUUUUUGGCAAAGGCCAUAAUUUUAUUCUUCUGUAUGGCUGAUUAGUAUUCCAUUGUUUAUAUAUACCACACUUUCUUUAUCCAUUCAUCUGUUGAAGGGUACCUAGGUUGGUUCCAUAACUUAGCUACUGUGAAUUGAGCUGUUAUAAACACUGAUGUGGCUGUAAUAUGUUUAAGUCCUUUGGAUAUACACUAAGGAGUGAGAUAAUUGGGUCAAAUGGUGAUUCAAUUCCAAGUUUUCUGGAGAAUCUCCAUACUACUUUCCAUAGUGAUUGCACCAAUUUNUUAUAAAGCUGCACAUUGUACACCUUCCCUAUAGAACUAGGAAAAAAAUCUCAAUUAUUUAGAAAAUUAACUCCUAAAAGCCACCAAAAUUUUUUAAUAUUUUUAUAACAGAAAGUACUAUAAAAGAAGAGUGGAUAAAUGUUUUGGCAGACUGUAUUCAAAGCCUAAGAUGGAAAGUGAAAUUUCUCCUAUCUUAUCUCUACCUGUAAGUUGCCCUUCAUUUAGCAAGAAACCCGUGGACACUUAAUUGAAUCUAUUAAGUAAUUCAUGUAGAAAAAUACCAAAGGACCAGAACUGAAGGGCACUAGUGAUUUCUUUCCAGGUUUUGAGAAAUGUUAGAACUGAAACAUCAGAGAUGUGUUUUUUCUAUUAAUAAAAAGGAUGUUCUGUCAUUUUUCUCUUCCAGUGUGGUAUCUGGGUAUUGUUUUUAUGUCAUGUCUCUUCAGGUUUCUUUAUUUGGAACAUUUUUUCAGUCUUUCUUGGUCUUUUAUAUAAUUAAUAUCAAAAGUUUAGUCCUCCCUUUUUUUUUCAAUUGUCCUACAGUAAAAUGGACAUUCCUUUUGGCUUAUAGUUCUUUGGGUUUCAAUAUACAUUGAGACUCAUGAAACCAGCACCACAAUAUGGUUACAGAAAAAGUUCUGUUAGCCCUCAAAUUCCUCCAUUACUACUCUGCUAUAGCCACACACCUGUCCCAUGCCUAAUCUUAGCAUGCAUGAUCUCUUCUUCAUCACUAUAGUUUGGAACUCUUGGGAACCUCAUAUAAAUGGACACAGACUUCUUCUCUUACACCUCCCUCACCCUGCCUUAUUGUGUAUUAGUAUCCAAAUAUCAAUUUGAGACUGGAUUUUUUCCUUGACAUAAUGCCUUUAAGAUCCAUCCAAACUGUUGCCUUUACCAGUAAUUUUUUUUUCUUAUUGCUGAGUAGUUAGUAUUUAUUGUAUGGAUUAUCACAAUUGGUUCAUUCAACAAUAGUAAGACUUUUGGGUUUGUUUCUAGUUUGGGAUGAUUAUGAAGAGAUCCGGCUAAGCAUUCAUGUACAAGUUUUUGUGUGAAGAUAAGUUCUGAAUUCUGUAGGAUAAAUAGCUAAGGGUAAGAUUUGCUGGAUUCUACAGUGGGUAUAUGUUUGACUGUUGAAGAAACUGCCAAACUGUUCAUCCUUGUCAUUACCCAUGAUGCAACUGGGAGGAGAUGAUCUCUUCCUGGGGAGAGUUGCAUUUAAUUAACCAUUGCCUGAGUAGGAUGUACAGACUAGGAGAUGAAGGAGGCAAUCAACAGCCUAUUUGAGUUUAUUUUUAAAAAAAUAUUUGUUCUUUUUAGAUAUACAUGAUAGUAGAAUGUAUUUUGACAUGUUACACGUACAUGGAAUAUAACUUAUUCUAAGUUGGAUCCAAUUCUUAUGGUUGAACAUGAUGUGGAGGUACACUGGUCAUGUAUUCACAUUUGAACAUAGGAAAAUUAUGUCUAAUUCCUUCUACUAUCUUUCGUAUACCCAUUCACCCUUCCUUCUCUUCAUUCCCCUCUGUUUAAUCCAAUGAACUUCUUUUCUUACAUCUCCCCCACCCCACCUUAUUGUGUGUUAGCAUCCAAAUAUCACAAAGAGCAUUCUGUCUUUGGUUUUUGGGAUUGGCUUAUUUUGCUCAGCAUGAUAGUCUCCAGUUUCAUCCAUUUUUUGGCAAAGGCCAUAAUUUUAUUCUUCUGUAUGGCUGAUUAGUAUUGCAUUGUUUAUAUAUACCACACUUUCUUUAUCCAUUCAUCUGUUGAAGGGUACCUAGGUUGGUUCCAUAACUUAGCUACUGUGAAUUGAGCUGUUAUAAACACUGAUGUGGCUGUAAUAUGUUUAAGUCCUUUGGAUAUACACUAAGGAGUGAGAUAAUUGGGUCAAAUGGUGAUUCAAUUCCAAGUUUUCUGGAGAAUCUCCAUACUACUUUCCAUAGUGAUUGCACCAAUUUGUGGUCCACCAGCAAUGGAUCAGUAAACCUUUUUCCCCAUAUCCUUUCCAAUAUUUAUUGUUACUUGUAUUCUUGAUAGUGGAUAUUCUGACUGGAGUGAGAUGGAAUCUCAGUAUCAUUUUCAUUGUUAUUUCUCUAAUUGCUAGAGUGUUGAAUAUUUAUUUCUUCUUCUGCAGAGUGUCUGCUCAGUUCCUUUGCCCAUUUAUUUUUAUUUUUGUGUGUGUGUUAAGAUUUUUGAGUUCUUUAUAUAUCCUGGAGAUUAGUGCUCUGUCUGAGGUGCAGGUGGCUCCAUGUUCUUGAUUGUUUCCUUUGGUGUGCAGAAGCUUUUUAGUUUGAUACCAUCCAACUUAUUGAUUCUUGAUUUUACUUCUUGUGCUUUAGGAGUCCUGCUGAGGAAGUUGGUUCCUAGGCUCCUGGGAGCAUUGGGUCUAUGUUUUCUUCUAGUAGGCACAGUGUCUGGUCUAAUACCUAAGUCCUUGAUCCACUUUAAGUUGAGUUUUGUUCAGGGGUCUCACCUUCAUUCUGCUGCAUAUGGAUUUCCAGUUUUCCCAGCAUCACUUGUUGAAGAGGCUAUCUGUUCUCCAGUGUUUGCUUAUGGUGCCUUUGUCUAGUAUGAGAUAACUGUAUUUAUGUGUGUUUGUCUGUGUGUUUAAUUUUGUUCCAUUGGUCUUAAUGUGUGUUUUUUUUUGUGCCAAUACCAUGUCAUUUUUGUUAUGAUAGCUCUGUGGUAUAAUUUAAGGUCUGGUAUUGUGAUGCCUCCUGCUUCACUUUUCUCACAAAGGAUUGCUUUAGCUAUUCUGGGACUCCUUUUUUCCAAAAUGAAAGUAAUGGCUACCUUUUCUAUUUCUAUGAAGAACAUAAUUGGAAUCUUUGUAGGAAUUGCAUUAAAUCUGUAUAACACUUUUGGUAGUUUGGCCAUUUUGACAAUAUUGAUUAUGCCUAUCCAAGAACAUGGGAGAUCUUUUCAUCUUCUAAGGUCCUCUUUAAUUUCUUUCUUUAGUUUUCUGUAGUUUUAAUUAUAGAGGUCUUUCACCUUAUUUGUUAGACUCCCAAGUAUUUCAUUUUUUUGAGGCUGUUGUGAAUGGCAUAGAUUUCCUACUUUUUCUGUCAGCCAAUUAAUCAUUGGUGUGUAAGAAUUCAAUUGGUUUAUGGGUGUUAAAUUUAUAUCCUUCUUCUUGGACCUCCUGGAUGAACAGGAGGACUAUUCUCCCAUAGGUUGCAUUCGAGAUUGGAGAACAUGUAUCAAACAGAAAGAAGAGUGUAAGGCUUCCCUGCAGGAAGGGAGAGCUGGACACACCAUGGAUCUGGGACUGAUGCUGGUUCUUUGUCUAGAGACCUGCCCUGUCACAGCCUGUACAGCCAGUGGGACUUGGCUGGGGUGGACUGUAUUGUGGAGACAGGAAAUUAAACAGGAGCUAUGGGAAACAGAGGCCAGGCUUCUGCCUGCCCACAGUGCCAUGCCUUUCAGCCUGGGCACCCAGAUGGACCUAGAGGAUUUCCAUAAGUCUCCAGCUGCUGUUGCCUUUUGUGCAGCUACACAUGAGUGGCUUGAACCUGGAGCACUGUGCUCACUACCUGCAGGCCCAGCUUGAGGAUGCGAAGUGCAGCAGGAAGAGGAGGACUGGGGUGGGUAUACAAGGGUAAGGAGGGUACACAAGUGUAAAUGAAAAAGGUCAUGUUUUGGUCCCACUGGAUGGAGUCUAUAAGUCUAAUGUUGCACUGGGAAUAAGGAUAAGCCUUUUACCACUCAGGCAAUGUUGUCGGUCUGAGAAGAGAUCCUGUGUGGGCUUUGGGGCUAAAAACUUCUGGGCAGAUAGAGUAUUGACUGUUUUAGCAAAGCUCAGGGCAAGGCAGUCAUGUUGGAAUCAUUUCUCCUCUAGCUGCAGCCUCAGUUCCAGAACAAGCUCUUAAAGCACCUGCAGAGCUACAGCCUUCUCCAGGAGGUGCUCUGGUGCCCAGUCAAGUGGCAGCACCAGCAUCAGAUCCAGAGCUUGUGUUCAACCCAGUAUGUGUUUGGAAGCAAGAGGCAGUUCUAGAGCUGGCUUUAGUGUCAGCUUUGGAGUUCCAGGCAGCUCUUGCUCCACUGCUGAAUUUAGCUCUGUCCCCAACUCUAGAGCUGAAGUCCAUCCCAUUACCAGUUCUGUCAGUAGAGCCUUGCCAGCCUUAACUUGUGCCACAGAGAAAGGGCUGAGAAAGGGAAUGCGUUAACAUUCCCUCCAGACCUGAGGGCAGAGAGCUUCCUGCUAAUGGAUGAAAUGUCUUUGCAUGCCUGGGCUUGGUGGUUGAACUUCCUUCUGGUAUCUGCUGCCUAGACCUGCUGUUUCCUGCUGUAGAGCCCAUGUUCCUGUCUCAACUCCAUUUCACCACUGCAGUGAGUGAUGCUGACUUCUGGGUGGUGAUGAGUUCCAAAAGGAAAAGAUAUGUCUAUGAGCUCUGAACAGGGCAGAGUGGGAAGUUAGAACAGCAUCAUGGGCAGUAAAAUGAUCGUGCUCUGUAUGUCAGUGAGGCAGGUGUGCAUUUGUACAACAUAGAGGAAGAAGCAGGCAGAGGCAGGCAAGGCAACCAGAGUAGAGGCAGUAUUUUGAGGGAUAAAGGAGCUUAGAAGCAGGCCCUGUGCAAAAGUAAGGUUUCCUAUUUGGUGGUAGACUGAGGGGACAAUGUUGUCUCUGAUUGCAUCCUUGGCUAAUCCAAAGAGCCAAGAUAACUCAAAGUCUGGGUAUAGUUUCCAGAAGCCCCAUAGAGAGUGCUGUGAACCUGAAGUUUUGGGGAUUCUGCUGAUGUUGCCAUCUCCACAGUUCUUGAAGUCGAAUUCAGAGUCCUCAGCAAUGACGUCCAGCUCCACUGCAUCUUUGAGCAACACCUCUUCAGAAUUGUCCAGGCCUUUUCCCAUGGCCACCAAAAACAACAGUGUCCAGUAUUGCAGGUAUCUCCACUAGCAGUACCUCACUGCCCAUCUACAACAAGCAGCUGGGAGAUAGCUGCAUGGUUUACAUCAACCUAGAAGAGCAGAUUAUGACGGAAUACGAGAUAAUCCUGGUGAGCCUGACAGCAGGGGUUUCUCACAGGUGACCACACUGGAAAAGGCAGAAAACAUAUCCAACACCAUGGACUAGUCCUGCCAUCUUGAAUUGGAGCUUCUGGAAGGUUAGGAGGGAAUAAAGAAGGGAGAGGUCUGUGUUUAGGACUUGACCUGAGAGGAGGGAGAGCACCCGUAUGCCCAGCUCCAGCUGUGAGUGGGCCUGCAUGCUGUGGGGUUUGCCAGCCACAAGCGUAAGAGCACAUGCUGGAGACAGAUGAGGUCAGAGAAAUAUCUAGGGUGCAGUCUGCACUGUAUGGGCCACAGACACCUACGAGCCAUUCAGGAAGCCAGGAGUGUGAGUCUGCAUAUCCCUUGACUGGGUAGCUGAGAAAGUCUCUUUGUAGAAUUUAUAUGGAUGUGGAGUAUACACCCUAAUAUUUCAGGUGUCCAGAUGCAGAGGAGACAUGUUCAGUUCUCCCCCUGCUGGUUCAGGUAUCCCAUUACACCCCAGCCACCACUGAGCCUCUAGUCUCUCAUCUGCAUGGUCUUGUUCCUCAGUUUGUUUUUUGCCCUGGCUGUAAGGACCAAAGCCUGCAACAUUUCUGCCUGUGCCAAGUAAAGAAUCAGCCUGCAUCCUAGAGUAGAACUGGCAUAUAGUGGGUCACUGGUCUAUUACUCUGAUCUCAGUGGGCGUAGGAGGUAUCUGUGCACAGACUCUUGAGUCCUUUUACCUUGAGUGAAAAGUGCCUCCAGACAGGUCAAUGGCAAUUACAGGCAGACUAUUGUAUGAGGAUUGGGGUAGUAGCCCAUGGGAAGAACCAAUAUGAUUACAGGGAGCCCAGCCU